AUGCUUGCAUCUUGCUGACGACCGGCGCACGGGUGCGUAACGCGUAUACAAUCUACCUUUUACAGGAGAAUAGCCCAGAGAAAUUUGGAUUAAUGCUCCAUAGAAUGUUUUGAAGGCAUCUUUAUUACAUUAAAGUUCCGGCGGUAAGAGAUGAGUAUGCGUCCUAUUAGCUAGAUGGUAAGGUAACGGCUUACCAUGGCAACGAUAGGUAGGGGUCCUGAGAGGGAGAUCCCCCACACUGGUACUGAGACACGGACCAGACUCCUACGGGAGGCAGCAGUGAGGAAUAUUGGACAAUGGAGGCAACUCUGAUCCAGCCAUGCCGCGUGCAGGAAGACUGCCCUAUGGGUUGUAAACUGCUUUUAUAUGGGAAGAAUAAGGAUCUCGUGAGGUCUGAUGACGGUACCAUAAGAAUAAGCACCGGCUAACUCCGUGCCAGCAGCCGCGGUAAUACGGAGGGUGCAAGCGUUAUCCGGAAUCAUUGGGUUUAAAGGGUCCGUAGGCGGGCGUAUAAGUCAGUGGUGAAAUGCUGUGGCUCAACCAUAGCACUGCCAUUGAUACUGUAUGUCUUGAAUUAUUGUGAAGUGGUUAGAAUAUGUAGUGUAGCGGUGAAAUGCUAGAGAUUACAUAGAAUACCGAUUGCGAAGGCAGAUCACUAACAAUAUAUUGACGCUGAUGGACGAAAGCGUAGGUAGCGAACAGGAUUAGAUACCCUGGUAGUCUACGCCGUAACGAUGGAUACUAGUUGUUUGGACUUCGGUUUGAGUGACUAAGCGAAAGUGAUAAGUAUCCCACCUGGGGAGUACGUUCGCAAGAAUGAAACUCAAAGGAACUGA
rnacentral:rRNA from 1 species